UCAACCGAAACGGUAGGAGCGGUAGAAAAAAAGAACGCAGCCUCCCAAUCCCGUCUCCACCUCCGGUGAGCCGCCACCCCCUACCCUGCCGCCGCGCACCGGACUGCCUGAGGGGGGAGGGGAGUGUUGCACCGCGAGUCUCGCGCCGGCAGGCGGCGCGCUCCUCGAGCGGCUGGAGGCGGCGUGGCUGCUCGAUGCAGAACGAAGGCGGCGUCCGGGGCUUGGAGGGGACGGAUUCGUGUGCGGCAGGGGCUGGGGAGGCAGAUCCGGAGGCGUUCGGCGAGACGGGGUUCGCUGGUGACGAGGAGGAAGGCCGGAGCGCCGCUUCCGGGGAGGAUCCAUAGCAUCCGCGGCUCCUGGACAGAAAGGAGACACAGAGGUGAGGGAGAGAAGAAGAGAAAAAGGAGGGGCGGUGCGGCGACCUAGGCCGGAGCUCACCGGUGCCGGACAACGGCGGACGGGCGCCACUGCUGCUGCCUGCCUGGGAUGGAGUGAAGAAAUUGGAUUGGGGUCAUGGGAUAAAUCAACUCGAGGAUGCAACUCAUGUUCUUGUAGGUAGUCAUUCAGACAUUUCUUAACUCGGUUGCAAAAUCAGCUGCCACAGCUCUGCGCUGCCGGCCAUGGAAACCUCUCAUGUAUCCCCGCUUGUCACUUCUCUCCAGCAGCGUCUCUAUGCCAUGGCAGCGGCCCUCCCGCCCCGACGAUCGUAGUUUCUGCUCCCGAUCUGUUGUGCCUGGGCAGUCCCAGCCGCUCCUCCGUAGCAAACUUGUGCUCUUCCUUUGGCUUUCCUUCCAUAGGGUCUGCACCGCUUCAAUUUCAAUCUGCAGGACAUACGCAAGUUGUAGACAAAUCGAAUGAAAUAAUAUGCUAAGCCUUGGUCUCCAUUGCCACUUUGUCACCUUGUUGAUAUUAGAGGGAGGAUCAAAGGGGUGAUUGGUACUUUCCCUUACAGCAGGUGGUGAAAAGCAAUGAAUUUUCUCAACCAAUGAAGCUUUCUCUGUGGUGUUCAGGUUAUGAACUCCUACAAUUUCAGGUGUACUGCAAUCCAGGAAUGCAGCAGGCCAGAACAAUGGACAAUGAUGGUACUAUGAGUGGCUAGGUAUUGGCCUAUUGUGGCAAGAUGCCGGUGACUAUGAGGUGUAUAAAAUCUGGAUCUAUAAAUGACCCAGGUUGCCUUGGGGGCCAAAUGCUGCAAACGGGUCAAGGUUGGUUAUAUUUCUCCUUUGUCAUUUCUCUGGAUAAUCCUCUCUAGCAAGAUCACUUAGGACGAUAUAAUCUGCUAUUUACUUUCUAUAUGGUUUCAGUAUGAGAAGAUCACUUUAGGACAAUAUAAUCAGCUACCCAUGUGAUUUACUUCCACUGCGUUUCAGCAUGUUCAAUCUCUGUACAAGCGCGCAAAUGGACAUAUUUUGAUUUGGCGACUUGGUGUUUUAAUUGUUCUUACUGAAUACUGGAUCCUGGCACUUAUGUUAUCUACAUGUAGUAUGUUUCUAGCUCGAUGUCUACUGCUUCUCUUAAGGCCACAGUAGUUUCGAUCGACACUAUGUAUAUCUAAAUAAAAAUUUCAUUUGGAUCACAUAACAUUCUUUUUCUUGAAAAUUCACAUGGUUUAUUGGACUUGAAUUAGCAGUGUGGUUCAUGUGCACAUUGUGCUUAGUUAUCCUUUCUGUUAUCACAAGUCGAUGUGAUAAACACGAAGUAUGCACUUCCAUCUAUACUUCCGAUAAUAUUGGUGUCAAGUGGUAUUAAAAGUCUGAAACUGCAAUCGCAUAGUUUUGGUUGUUCAUACAAAUCUGCAUUUGGGUGUGUUUGUAAAAUUGUACGAGUAGUAACUUUGUAGAAGGAAUGCAGUCCCUUAAUCUAAUACUCCCUCUAUAAACAAAUAUAAGAGCAUUUAGAUCACUACUUUAGUAAUUUAAACACUCUUAUAUUUGUUUACAGAGGGAGUAGCGAUUUAACUUUUUUACGUGACAUAGAACUGUCCUGUAACUUUGAAGACACCUCCAGAUGUUGUGAUUCUACAAAUUAUCUGGUACAUGCUCCUGCUUUUGCAAUACCUCUCUGAUUGUCUAUUAAGCUGCAAAAAUGCUAUGUGCCAAACACUUAAUGUUCGGUAGUUAACUCUAAACAUGAUAUCACUUACGUUCUACACAUGCAUGUUUAUUUCAUAAAAAGAAAAACAAUAUAUAAAAAAUAUGUAUCUAAUAUGUUGUAUUGGAAGUAAUAGUGUGAGGGAAGCAAUGCAAGUUUCUGUCAGGGAAGAAAACAUUCUAGAACUUUUGUUUUCCAUAAUAAGUCAAAACAGAAUGUGUUUUCUGAGAAUUAUACUAUUAUUUAUUCUGGAAGAAGGACGUGCUUCGUGACGUAUGCAUGCUAAAUGCGAGUUGUAUGUCGAUAAUUUCAUUUUAUUAGUUGUUCAGAAGAAUAAUGACAAUAGUUGUCUUACUCCAAUUCAUGAAGCAGAGUUUGUCAUAUAGGAUCUUCUUAUAUAACAGAAGCUAAGGUCCAUUGCACUCGACACAGUCUCCCUGAAAGACAAAUUCCAGUUUUAGAGUGUGGCAAUGACGCAAAUUCCUCGCUGCAAUCAGAGGAGAUCCAGUCAGGCUACAAACUUUUCCUGUAUGGUGGUAGGGAAACAUCGCCAUUAGUUUCAAUGAUUUACCAGCUAGAAGGACUUCACAGAAUUUUGCCAACAUCAUUGAUGAAGAUAUAAUUUUUCUUAUUCGUUUUUAGACAAGAAAGAACCAUAGAGAAUCUAAACCCUUGUACUAUAAUAGUACCCGCAGUACAACAAACCCCUAUCUCUAACAGAAGAUGAAAAUGAAUAGUUUUUUUUGUUGUAGGUUACCAAGAACAAGUGCAUCAUCAAACUAGAUGUUGUAUAUUAUCCGUCCAUAAUCUGGUUGUGUAUCUUGCAAAACACAAGUGUGUGCAUGAUUGUAGGGGCAGAGCAUAGUUUGAAUUUUAAAGCCAUUUAUAUUGUCCUGCAAAACUAUAAUUUUGAAGAAAGGUACAUUAAGUUAUGUCAUGCACAUGGAGAGUGUUGCAAUCUAUAAUGCCUUACAAGUCUCAGCUCCAUCAGGGCAGUUUUAUUAGUGUGUCACAAGCCUGCUAUUUCUAAUUUACAAAUUGUGUACUCCCUCUGUCCGGAAUUGCAUGUCAUAGAAAUGGAUGUAUCAGGAGUAGUUAUUUUAGUGUUUUACAUAAUGCAUAGAUUUUUCAGAACAGAAAGAAGUGAAUAUAUAAACUUAUUUUGCUUUCUUAUUUAGUUCCAGUUGACUUUAUAAAUCCCAAUUUCUCCAGUAUUGUAACUUUGUCAAAUAAUCAACUUAAACGGAUCUUUCUCCUUGGACAUCUUUCAAUUUGUAAUAUUAUGAUUUUCUUUCCCAGAAACCAUUUAAACUAGCCUGGGGCUAUGUCUAUUAGUCCGUAAGUAUUUGUUGGAAUGAGAGAACACAUUGUAUGCAAGGUAACAAGCAACUAAAGCAAGUAGAGUUUUGCAAUUUCUUGGCAAGAUUGAGCCCCUGAACCCAGGAUGCAUGAUGAAGGAUCCAAUAUUUUAGGACUGACAUGCUUCUUAUUUAGUUUUUUUAGCUGCUGGCCUACUUCAAGUGUCUACAGUUUACAGGAUACAUGUUUCUUCAAGGGUCUACAUGCUAUAGGAAGUAAGUUUCUUAUAGUAGUCAAACCUAGAUUACCAAUUUAUUGGAGCUAUUAUAUUUUAACCUGGAUAUCAAUUUAUUGGAUCAAUUGAGAGGUGACACUCUUGGAGAGUCAAGUAAUGUAAUAUAUUCUUUCUC